UACGUAGGUGGCAAGCGUUGUCCGGAAUUAUUGGGCGUAAAGCGCGCGUAGGCGGUUUUGCAAGCCAGAGGUGAAAUGCCUGAGCUCAACUUAGGAAUUGCCUUUGGGACUGCGAGGCUUUGAGGACGGGAGAGGUGAGUGGAAUUCCCAGUGUAGAGGUGAAAUUCGUAGAUAUUGGGAAGAACACCGGUGGCGAAGGCGGCUCACUGGCCCGUUUCUGACGCUGCAGCGCGAAAGCGUGGGGAUCAAACAGG
rnacentral:rRNA from 1 species